GGAGCUUACCCAUACAGAAAACCUGAAUUCAUUCUGAAAUGGGAGGGAAGCGGGGGCAAAAUGUUAUCUUUGAGCUGUGACAUUUGGCUUCCAGUGGACACACAAAAUGGACACACAUCAAAUGUCAAACAGGCUGAUAAUGGACAGGAAGCACCACUGUCAACACAGUGAGCCUGACCUUCACUGGCAGCAAAAUCCUGGAUGAAAUGCAACCGCCCUAACCUCAAGUCACCCAGGGCAUGGGCAAAACUAGACCUGCAGCCUUCCGCUUCCCUUCCUAACAUCAUGACAAAGCGUAAUCAUUUCUCUGCCACGGAACGAACGCUCAGAAAAGGCGUGAAACACUGA
rnacentral:lncRNA from 1 species